rnacentral:rRNA from 1 species
CCUACGGGAGGCAGCAGUGAGGAAUAUUGGUCAAUGGACGAGAGUCUGAACCAGCCAAGUAGCGUGAAGGAUGAAUGCCCUAUGGGUUGUAAACUUCUUUUAUAUGGGAAUAAAAUCUUCCACGUGUGGGAUUUUGUAUGUACCAUAUGAAUAAGGAUAGGCUAACUCCGUGCCAGCAGCCGCGGUAAUACGGAGGAUCCGAGCGUUAUCCGGAUGUAUUGGGUUUAAAGGGAGCGUAGGUGGUUUGUUAAGUCAGUUGUGAAAGUUUGCGGCUCAACCGUAAAAUUGCAGUUGAAACUGGCAGUCUUGAGUACAGUAGAGGAGAGCGGAAUUCGUGGUGUAGCGGUGAAAUGCUUAGAUAUCACGAAGAACUCCGAUUGCGAAGGCAGUUCACUGGACUGCAACUGACACUGAGGCGCGAAAGUGUGGGUAUCAAACAGGAUUAGAUACCCUGGUAGUC